rnacentral:rRNA from 1 species
UACAGAGGUGGCAAGCGUUGUUCGGAAUUACUGGGCGUAAAGGGCGCGUAGGCGGCCUUCUAAGUCAGACGUGAAAUCCCCCGGCUUAACCUGGGAACUGCGUCUGAUACUGGGGGGCUUGAGUAUGGGAGAGGGAUGUAGAAUUCCAGGUGUAGCGGUGAAAUGCGUAGAUAUCUGGAGGAAUACCGGUGGCGAAGGCGGCAUCCUGGACCAUAACUGACGCUGAGGCGCGAAAGCGUGGGGAGCAAACAGG